GUGCUUAGUUUUGACAGCAUGUAUACUAAAAUUGGAAUGAUUCAGAGAAAAUUAGUAUGGCCCUUGUACAAAAAUAACAUGCAUAUUCAUGGAAUCCCUUAUUAACUA